CACGUAGGGGGCAGGCGUUGUCCGGAUUCAUUGGGCGUAAAGAGCUCGUAGGCGGUUCGAUAAGUCGGGUGUGAAACCUCCAGGCUCAACCUGGAGACGCCACCCGAUACUGUCGUGACUAGAGUCCAGUAGGGGAGCGUGGAAUUCCUGGUGUAGCGGUGAAAUGCGCAGAUAUCAGGAGGAACACCAGCGGCGAAGGCGGCGCUCUGGGCUGGAACUGACGCUGAGGAGCGAAAGCGUGGGGAGCGAACAGGAUUAGAUACC
rnacentral:rRNA from 1 species